rnacentral:rRNA from 1 species
CGCGUAGGCGGCAUGCCAAGCGUGUGGUGAAAGCCCGGGGCUCAACCCCGGGUCGGCCGUGCGGACUGGCGUGCUCGAGCACUGUAGGGGCGGGUGGAAUUCCGGGUGUAGCGGUGGAAUGCGUAGAGAUCCGGAAGAACACCGGUGGCGAAGGCGGCCCGCUGGGCAGGAAGACACCGCAAGGUGUCGGCUGACGCUGAGGCGCGACAGCGUGGGGAGCAAACAGGAUUAGAUACCCUGGUAGUCCACGCCGUAAACGAUGGGCACUAGGUGCCUGGGGGAGCGACCCUCCGGGUGCCGGCGCUAACGCAUUAAGUGCCCCGCCUGGGGAGUACGGCCGCAAGGCUGAA